GAGUACACCGUUUUGACUCAAUUGAGGAUAUACAGGCAUGUUCUGGAAAUCGCACGAUUUAAAUUCGGCACCGAAUUUGCAAAUUAUCCCAGAUUCCGUUUUUGUUGCCCAUUACAGGAUAAGUAAAGAAGUGUUUAAAGGAAUUGUUCGCGAUGUCCAACCACUAAUAAAUCCGUCAUCUAUUAUGGUGAAAAUAAAGCUUGCUACUACUUUGAGGUACCUUGCAGAGGAAGGAUUUCAGCGCUCGGUAAGAAAAGACACCGACGUAUCCCUUGCAAGAAGUACCGUGUGCAAAGUCUUACAUGAGAAAGAAAAAGCACUCUGUCCAAAAUGAAUUCAACUGUAAAUGAGCGAAGAAGAAAUUAAAAUGUCGAAAGCACAUUUUUUCAACAAUUUUAGAAUUCUCGGAAUAAUCGGUUGUGUAAACGGGACACACAUAAAAAUUAUGAAGCCCCACCAAAAUGAGCAUUUGUAUUGUAACAGAAAGGGUUAUUUCAGCGUUAAUACGAUGAAUAUUUGCGAUUACAGAAUGCGUAUAACGGCUGUGGAAGCAUGCCACCCUGGCUCCAGUCAUGACGCUUUCAUAUUUUCUUUAAGUGGUGCCAAACAAUAUCUUUCAUCCAAGUAUGUGGGAGAAAACCAUAGAUCUUGGCUACUAGGAGAUUCAGGAUAUGGCUUGGAACCAUAUUUACUUACCCCUUAUAGUGAUGCAAACGCUGGGUCACCACAGCACAAAUUCAAUUUACAACACUCCAAGGCAAGAAAUAUCGCUGAGAGAGUAAUCGGAGUCCUCAAGAGCCGCUUUAAAUAACUUCAAACAACUUUGCCAUAUAUCCCAGAGAAUGUUGUAAAAAUUAUAAAUGUAUGCAGUGCUUUGCACAACAUUUGUUGCCAUUAUAACCUGAAUGCCUUUGCUUUAGAUGUAGUCGACGAUUUUCUGGGCGAAGAAGUUGCUGAUUAUAGCAGCCAUCUACAAACUGCCGCUGUAUCCAUUCGAGAUUUUGAC